GACGGAGGGCGCAAGCGUUGUUCGGAAUUACUGGGCGUAAAGCGCGCGCAGGCGGUUUUUUAAGUCCCACGUGAAAUUCCGGGGCUCAACCCCGGAGAUGCGUGGGAUACUGGAAGACUAGAGACCGGUAGAGGCUAGCGGAAUUCCUGGUGUAGCGGUGGAAUGCGUAGAUAUCAGGAGGAACACCGGUGGCGAAGGCGGCUAGCUGGGCCGGUUCUGACGCUCAUGUGCGAAAGCGUGGGGAGCAAACAGG
rnacentral:rRNA from 1 species